AUUGAACGCUGGCGGCAGGCCUAACACAUGCAAGUCGAGCGGAAACGAUCCUAGCUUGCUAGGAGGCGUCGAGCGGCGGACGGGUGAGUAACGCGUGAGAAUCUACCCAUGAGUGGGGGACAACCCGGGGAAACUCGGGCUAAUACCGCAUACGCCCUACGGGGUAAAGCAGGGGACCUUCGGGCCUUGCGCUGAUGGAUGAGCUCGCGUCGGAUUAGCUUGUUGGUGAGGUAAAGGCUCACCAAGGCGACGAUCCGUAGCUGGUCUGAGAGGAUGAUCAGCCACACCGGGACUGAGACACGGCCCGGACUCCUACGGGAGGCAGCAGUGGGGAAUCCUGGACAAUGGGGGCAACCCUGAUCCAGCCAUGCCGCGUGUGUGAAGAAGGCCUUCGGGUUGUAAAGCACUUUCAGCAGGGAGGAAGGCUUACCCCUAAUACGGGUGAGUACUUGACGUUACCUGCAGAAGAAGCACCGGCUAAUUUCGUG
rnacentral:rRNA from 1 species